UCUAUGGUGGUAUACCUGAGGGGCUAGGGU
rnacentral:piRNA from 1 species